rnacentral:lncRNA from 7 species
UGAUCCCCAACUCACCAGCUCCCACCCCACAGAUGCCCACCCCAUUGAUCCACAAUUCACAAGUUCCCACCCCAUUGAUGCCCACCCCAUUGACGCCUGGCCCAUUGAUGGCCAUCCUAUUGACGCCCACCCCAUUGACCCCCAAUUCACCAGCGGCCACCCCAUUGAUGAUGCCCACCCCACUGAUGCCCACCCCAUUGAUCCCCAAUUCACCAGCUCCCAUCCCAUUGAUGCCCACCCCAUUGAUGCCCACUCCAUUGAUGCCCAUCCUAUUGACGCCCACCCCAUUGAUGCCCACCCCAUUGACCCCCAGCCCACCAGCUCCCACCCCAUUGAUGAUGCCCACCCCAUUGACGCCCACCCCAUUGAUCCCCAGCUCACCAGUUCCCCCCCCAUUGAUGUCCCCCCCAUGAUCCACAAUUCACCAGCUCCCAUCCCAUUGACGCCCACCCCAUUGACGCCCACCCCAUUGAUGUCCCCCCCAUUGAUCCCCAGCUCACCAGUUCCCACCCCACUGAUGCCCACUCCAUGGAUGCCCACUCCAUCACUUCCAGCCCAUGGAUUCCCAGUCCACCAAUGCCAGCCCACUGAUGCCAGCCCAGUUCAUCCCAGUUCACCACUGCCAGCCCAUGGAUGCCCACUCCAUCACUUCCAGCCCAGUUCUUCCCAGUCCAUUUCUUCCCGCCCAUAGAUGCCAGCCCAGUUCAUCCCAGUCCAUCACUGCCAGCCCAUGGAUGCCCACUCCAUCACUUCCAGCCCAUUGAUGCCCAGACCACCAAUGCCAGCCCAUUGAUGCCCACUCCAUGGAUGCCCACUCCAUCAGUUCCCAGCCCAGUUCUUCCCACUCCACCACUGCCAGCCCAUGGAUGCCCACUCCAUCACUUCCAGCCCAGUUCUUCCCAGUCCACCACUGCCAGCCCAUUGAUGGCCAACCCAUUGAUUCCCAGUUCACCACUGCCAGCCCAUGGAUGCCCACUCCAUCACUUCCAGCCCAUUGAUGCCCAGUCCACCAAUGCCAACCCAUGGAUGCCCACUCCAUCAUUGCCAGUGCAGUGCUUCCCAGUCCAUCACUUCCAGCCCAUGGAUGCCCACUCCAUCACUUCCAGCCCAUUGAUUCCCAGUUCACCACUGCCAGCCCACUGA